GGUGUUGAUGGCGUCGAGGGUCCACCCGUUCCCAUGCCGAACACGGAAGUUAAGCUCGAUCGCGCCGAAGAUACUUGGUUGGUGACGACCCGGAAAAAUAGGAAGAUGCC
rnacentral:rRNA from 1 species